GCAGGCCUAACACAUGCAAGUCGAACGGUAACAGGAAGAAGCUUGCUUCUUUGCUGACGAGUGGCGGACGGGUGAGUAAUGUCUGGGAAACUGCCUGAUGGAGGGGGAUAACUACUGGAAACGGUAGCUAAUACCGCAUAACGUCGCAAGACCAAAGAGGGGGACCCUCGGGCCUCUUGCCAUCGGAUGUGCCCAGAUGGGAUUAGCUAGUAGGUGGGGUAACGGCUCACCUAGGCGACGAUCCCUAGCUGGUCUGAGAGGAUGACCAGCCACACUGGAACUGAGACACGGUCCAGACUCCUACGGGAGGCAGCAGUGGGGAAUAUUGCACAAUGGGCGCAAGCCUGAUGCAGCCAUGCCGCGUGUAUGAAGAAGGCCUUCGGGUUGUAAAGUACUUUCAGCGGGGAGGAAGGGAGUAAAGUUAAUACCUUUGCUCAUUGACGUUACCCGCAGAAGAAGCACCGGCUAACUCCGUGCCAGCAGCCGCGGUAAUACGGAGGGUGCAAGCGUUAAUCGGAAUUACUGGGCGUAAAGCGCACGCAGGCGGUUUGUUAAGUCAGAUGUGAAAUCCCCGGGCUCAACCUGGGAACUGCAUCUGAUACUGGCAAGCUUGAGUCUCGUAGAGGGGGGUAGAAUUCCAGGUGUAGCGGUGAAAUGCGUAGAGAUCUGGAGGAAUACCGGUGGCGAA
rnacentral:rRNA from 1 species